GAUGAACGCUGGCGGCGUGCCUAAUACAUGCAAGUCGAGCGAAGCGGGGACGGGUGAGUAACACGUGUAUAACCUCCUAUAAGACUGGGAUAACUUAGGGGAACCGGAGCUAAACCCGCUACUUAUAGAUGGAUGCGCGCUGCAUUAGCUAGUUGGUAGGGUAACGGCUUACCAAGGCGACGAUGCAUAGCCGACCUGAGAGGGUGAUCAGCCACACUGGAACUGAGACACGGUCCAGACUCCUACGGGAGGCAGCAGUAGGGAAUCUUCGGCAAUGGGCGAAAGCCUGAUGCAGCCAUGCCGCGUGUAUGAAGAAGGCCUUCGGGUUGUAAAGUACUUUCAGCGGGGAGGCGUUACCCGCAGAAGAAGCACCGGCUAACUCCGUGCCAGCAGCCGCGGUAAUAC
rnacentral:rRNA from 1 species